rnacentral:misc_RNA from 1 species
GAUGAAGAACGUAGCGAACUGCGAUAAGUGAUGUGAAUUGCAGAAUUCAGUGAAUCAUCGAGUCUUUGAACGCACAUUGCGCCCCCUGGCAUUCCGGGGGGCAUGCCUGUCCGAGCGUCAUUGCUGCCCUUCAAGCCCGGCUUGUGUGUUGGGUCGUCGUCCCCCCCGGGGGACGGGCCCGAAAGGCAGCGGCGGCACCGCGUCCGGUCCUCGAGCGUAUGGGGCUUUGUCACCCGCUCGAUUAGGGCCGGCCGGGCGCCAGCCGGCGUCUCCAACCUUCUAUUUUACCAGGUUGACCUCGGAUCAGGUAGGGAUACCCGCUGAACUUAAGCAUAUCAAUAAGCGGAGGA